GACAGAAUCUCAAUGGAGGAAAAUUUCAAUAUUUGACUGCAUAUUUCUUUUCUUAAUCAUUUUAAUUUUUGGUGGAAAUUUCUGCUCUUAAUUUUGUGGUCUUUAUGUAGGUGGCCAUCUCAUUGGCAGCAUGUAUUUACUUCCUCAAUGAAAAGACACAGAGCUUAGCCAGGGCUUUCAUUCUCGGAUUUGGAUAUGUGGUUCUUUCCUAGUUCCUAUGGUGCCCUCUGUUCUUUUACAGCCAACUUGGACGCUGGAACUGCGCUCACAUCUCUUGUACUCUAUUUCUUCUUGUUUCUUUCUUGUACUUUUCUCAAGUGAAAAACCUUGCCAGUGUUCUUAACUCAAUGAAUGAUGUCAGGAGGUAGGUCAAAUUGACCAUUUUUUUGAGGAAGAUGUCUUUGUUCUGAUUGCUUAUGC